rnacentral:rRNA from 1 species
AUGAAUAACAGUACAUGUCCGGUCUGUAAGAGAUAUUGUGAAGACAUAAAACAUGUUAUUUUUCAGUGUGAGGAAGCAAAAGGUAUUUGGCAGAGAAUUGGCUUGAUAGAGGUGGUUACUGAAGCAUGUCAGAUAGAUCGGUCAGGUAGUGCAGUGCUUGAUUAUCUGAUGGCUGGAAAGUUCAGGGUCCCAGUUGAUGCAUCAGUAAAGUUUUUGAGAGAAACAAUCAUAACGGCCGCUUGGUAUAUUUGGUGGAGACGAAGACAGACAGUCCAUGCAGAAACUGUGCAAUCUUUAUCACAAGCGGCGAUGUCAAUUCAAGUCUUGGUAUCUAGUUUCUCGAAAGCACAAGGGAAAGAGAUUCAACCAAGAUCAAGUACGUGGCAUCGGGCGUCUGAGGGUUUUAUCUCUGUAAAUGUUGAUGCGAAGUACGAUAUUAAUAUGAGGUCAGGAGCUACAGGUGUGGUAAUUAGAGAUGAUAAAGGAAGAUUUGUAGGCGCGGGAUCCAAGCUCAUUCCUUUUGCGCUUGACGCGGCAACAGCUGAAGCUCAAGCAGUUCUAGAUGGUAUUCAUCUUGCAAAUCAAAUAGGCUGUCAGAAAUUAGUUAUUCAGUCUGAUUGUGCAGGAGUUAUUGAUACUCUUCUGGAAGGCGGUUUCUCUGCGACAGUUGCUGCUCCAAUAUUCGAAGACAUUCGUAUUCAGGCGAGCUCUUUUGACAGAAUCUUAUUUAUGCACUGUCCAAGGGAAGCAAAUCGGGUAGCGCAUACACUUGCACAUGAAUGUAGGCUAGAUAGUUGUGUGUGG